AUGGAGUUCCGGCAUGUUAGCAAGCUCAUCGACCUCUUCAUUCUUCCGUUGGUCAAGUGCUGCCCUCGUGAGCUGUUGGGAGAAUGGAUUUUGAAGCUCUUACUACCCUUGCUCAGUGAAUGUGGGUACGCACUUUCUGACGCGUGGUUCAGUCUUCUAAAUGAAGGCCAGGGUCAUGACCUCCCUUAUUUAGCUCACUCCUUCGGCUAUCUUGGUGGGUCGGAGGAAAGAGUAAAGAAGUUAGAAGGUUGUCUACUGCUUGACAUGACUCGCAAAGUCUCCAAGUUGCUUGGGGUUCUAGCAUCCGUGGAACCAAAUGAUGCGCUUAUGCGUUUGGACCUGCUUCCUGGCAUUACGGUGAAGACCGCUUCAUUGUGUGAUUCGAAGUGUGCAGCAACUUACUCUGUGGUUGGAUAUACUAUACUUGAUGAUUGGUUUAUCAGAAUGUUAAACAUGAACCUUUUUGGGUCAUGGGUUGACGGUGAAGCAACGAUGGACGCUCUUCCCUUCUGUCAUGCUUUGGUCCAAGUUGCUGUCGCUACAAAACAUGUGAAACUCAGACGGUUAAUCGUAGAUGCUAUGCUUCCAGCUACAAUUAAGCGUCUCUGUGACGAUCUUCCAUGUGCGGUUCAGCAGACAAUCAGAAAGUUAAGUUGCCAGCUGAACCCAAGCAAGAGCAAAACGGCUACCGAAGAUCUUUGGGUCCUAUGUGAAGCGAUUUAUAAAGUUUUUAUACAAAACCCGGAUUUCACUAUUGAAGAUCCAGACCGUGAGAACACAGUUGACCGGUUUAAAGAUUGGUUUUCAAGGCAAAAGCAAGAACUUCUUGUGAAAGCAUCUUGUCCUAUUCCAGCGGAUUUUCCUGUCAAUAUGUGGAAUUGGGAGCUUGAAGACGAAUUUCAAAGGUACCUCCCUACCUAUGUUGACAUAUUGUAUGAAGCUGAUGCAAUGGAUUGUUCAGAGUAUGAAUAUCCAUGCCAGUCUACGCUUUUUGAGAAACUGAGGCCUGAAUUUAGAUUAAAACAUGGCAUUAGCAACAGUCUGGAUGAUCAUGUUAGGAUUAUACGUGAUAUGGUGUAUCGAAAAUUACCCGCAGCAUGGUCUGAGAUGCAUUCCCAUCAAAUGGACGAAUGGCUUUGUAAACUAAUUUCCUUGAAACCUUACCUUACACACUCUAAUAAACGCCAUAGUGCCAUGGCUCGGCUUAUGGAAGACUUGCCGAUUGAUGCAAAGCUUUCUCCAUUGGACGUGAAAGAUGCGAUUGCUACUUUUUACAAUGUCAUAUUGUACUACUUGGAACCUAAGUUUCAUCCUCUAAUACGGGAGGGUCAAAAGGACUUCCUUAUAAAGAUAGCUCAUCAGUUUAAUUUUGCACAAGAGGCCAAUUCGUGCAAGCCCCUCGAGCCGGAAUUCAUAGAUUCUCCUGGCCAUUUGCAGCCUUACGCAUGUGAAUACAUCUAUAGAAUGAAUAUAUAUUGCAAUUAUUUUGAGGCAAGAGAACAUGUCCGUCUGCAUCAGGAGUUUGACCAAUAUUUGGCCUCAGGGGAACUGGACGAUAAUGUCUAUAAGUUUAAUUCUUCACAUGAUAAGUCUGUUCUGCAAUUUGCUGAGAAACACGUUGUGAAAAGUCGGUUUGGGAAGCUUGACCAUAAGCUCAUGAAAUUAUCUUUGGAUGAUCGAGCUCACAUUGUGCACGCGCAACGUCAAAUUUAUACUUAUUGUGAAAACUUGAGAGACAUCCUCGCGAACAAGGAGUUGAAUGUGAGCAUCCAAAAACUGAGGAACAAGCUAGAGGAGGAAGGCUUUUUCGACGUCGAUAACGAUUCUAUCGACUGGGACAAGCCAUGUUUUGUAUCGCUUAUAGGCAGAUUUAAGCAGCUGGUUUUCAAAGGACAUGGCUGCCCCAGACAUGUUGUUGUUCAAGGAAUUAUGGAGUACUGGGCAAUCUCACAAAGAAGCGGCGUAAAAACUGGACAGUUUUCUCUUGAGAAGGUUGUUGAAGAAGAGUGUCGUAGAUGGAAGAAAAACAUUGCAGAUCUUUGGAUGGAUACAAGAUACUACGAGGAAUCAUAUCAUGACAUUCUCAGAAAUCCUUUGACAAAGAUACUCUGA
rnacentral:rRNA from 1 species